rnacentral:rRNA from 1 species
CAAACGGGCGAGUAACACGUUUCUAAUCACCCCAGAGACGAGGACAACUACGGAGACGUAGCUAAACCUCGAUACGCUCAUCAAAAUGAAAAUAUGAUGAGGAAAUAUUUAUAGCUCCGGGACGAGGAAGCGUCCUAUCAGGUAGUUGGUGAGAUAAUAGCCCACCAAGCCUAUGACGGGUAGCCGGUCUGAGAGGAUGUCCGGCCGCAAUGGAACUGAGACACGGUCCAU